UACGUAGGGUGCGAGCGUUAAUCGGAAUUACUGGGCGUAAAGUGUGCGCAGGCGGCCGCGCAAGUCGAGUGUGAAAGCCCCGGGCUUAACUUGGGAAUUGCGCUCGAAACUACGUGGCUGGAGUGUGGCAGAGGAAGGUGGAAUUCCAGGUGUAGCGGUGAAAUGCGUAGAGAUCUGGAGGAACACCGGUGGCGAAGGCGGCAUUCUGGACCGAUAUUGACGCUGAGGAGCGAAAGCCAGGGGAGCAAACGGG
rnacentral:rRNA from 1 species